rnacentral:rRNA from 1 species
UACAGAGGGUGCAAGCGUUAAUCGGAAUUACUGGGCGUAAAGCGAGCGUAGUCGGUUAUUUAAGUCGGAUGUGAAAUCCCCGGGCUCAACCUGGGAACUGCGUCCGAUACUGGAUGGCUUGAAUUCGGGAGAGGGAUGCAGAAUUCCAGGUGUAGCGGUGAAAUGCGUAGAUAUCUGGAGGAAUACCGGUGGCGAAGGCGGCAUCCUGGACCGACAUUGACGCUGAACGGCGAAAGCUAGGGGAGCAAACGGG